GGUGGAUAUGUCUCCUUGAAUCUUUCAUCUUUCUCCGUGCAGACAGCAGCAGGAUGGCUGGAAGGUUUAGUCUAGAAACUCCAAGGAAGAAAGAUUGAUGGAAGCGGGUAUGUAGAAGAGAAAGGAUAGCGGCAUUAGGAUUAGACCUCUCCUAGAUUUGAUAGGAUGUGAAAAAGGGAUCUGUAGAGGAAUAUGGUGUCGUGCUAGGGUUAGUAUCUCUCCUAGACUUAUGGAGAAGAAC
rnacentral:lncRNA from 1 species